rnacentral:lncRNA from 1 species
ACAAUUGGACAAGCAAGGUGUACAAAUUUUAGGGCACGAAUCUACAACGAGACCAACAUAAAUGCUGCAUUUGCUAGCACGAGGCAAUCAAAUUGCCCAAAGGCAUCAGGAUCAGGUGACAACAAUUUGGCACCUCUUGAUCUUCAGACUCCUAGUUCUUUUGACAACAACUACUUCAAGAACCUUGUUCAGAACAAGGGUCUUCUCCAUUCAGACCAACAACUUUUUAACGGCGGGUCCACCAACUCAAUAGUGAGUGGUUAUAGUACUAGCCCAAGCUCUUUUUCCUCUGAUUUUGCCGCUGCUAUGAUCAAGAUGGGAAAUAUUAAACCUCUCACCGGAUCAAAUGGAGAGAUUAGGAAGAACUGUAGAAAAACCAACUAAUAUUUAAGUUAAAUUGAUACUAAUCAUUCUAGAUAUACACAUACAAAUUUUAUUAUAUAGAUGUGUGUGCAAGUGUGUGCAAAAUAAGUUGUUAAACAUGUUUGAAUUGUCAUUUUAAUUAUGGGUACUUCCGAAGGUCGUGUAUUGUCUUAGUUUUAUUAUGUUUUUUUUACUUCAUUUACAAAAUUGUAAGAACGGAAGCUAGUUUGAUAAUCUACAAGGUCAAUUGUGAUUUUAAUUUAUAAAAAGGGUUUAGUUUGUCUUUUUACUUUAAUGUUUGAUUGUGUCUCUGUUUCACGUAAGCAAUCAUUACUAAUAUAAUAUUGCGAUUUUUACUUCCGUUGACAAUGUAAAAAUCUUGUUGGUAACUAUUACUUUCUCUAUCUCAAAAUACAUGUCCAAAUCAACCACUUCUCACAUGUCAAUGCAUAAUUUUGACCGUUAAUAUCUUUAAUUAUCAAAGUAAAAAAUUAUAAAAAUUUAAUAUUUUAAAAAUAUUUGUCGAGACAAAUUAAACAACAUCUUACAUACUAAUAUUUAUAUUUAUACAUUAGUUAAAAAAGUAUGGUCAAAGUAAAUCAAGUGAAUAGUGCACAUUACGAAAAUUAAACAUGUAUUUUUAAACGGAUGGAGUACUGUAUAAGCAACUCAGUCAAUACUUUUGAAGUAUUAAUUAAAGUCUAGAGAGCGAGUCGAUGUAAGCUUAGUCCACCUAAACUUUAUUUAAAAAAGAAAGAAGAAGGAAGGCUUAUAAUUGAUAGAUAAUUUUUUGUGUAAAAUAUCAAUUAUUAUUUUUGUCAAAAUUAAAGUUCCUCAUUAUUGUUGACAACCUGAAAUUAAGAAGAAUUUCAUACCUACCCCCACCCCAAAUGAAUCAGAAACUAUUUUUGUAAUUAAACUGAAAGUUUACAUAUGAAUCUCAAACUAUAGUUAUUGUAACCAUAAAUCUAAAACACUAACGAUUAUUAGAUUGAGUUUUAAACAAUCAUACGAGUGAAUUAAACAUCAUAUUUUAAUCUAAAAUCUUAAGUCAUUUAAUAUUUUAAUUUGCUCGUUAAGUUUAGUAAUGCAAGCUUGUGAUCUAAGUAGAGACAUUAAGAUGUUAGAACUCCUUGACUUGUGAAAAAAAACUUAUCACUUAUACAUGUUGUUUGAUAUUUACUUUUUUCAUUUACACUAUUUAUUUGAAGAGAGUUAACCGAGAGAAAAGAUGGUGCGAUAGAGAUAGGAGAGAAGUGUUCAACUUCUCUUGUUUGGUGCAACAGAGAGUUUGAAGGGAGAGAUUUAUAUUGUGAUUUGUGGGCCUUGCCAGUUUUUCUUUUCUUCAAGGACAUGCGAAGAAACGUGCGAGACAAGUAUUUUUCCCCAUUUUUCCAUAAUUACCCUUUUUAUUUUAAUACAAUGAACCUUUUCUUUUGGUACAUGUAUCAUGAGAUUGACGAACUUUAUUAAAUAAUUUUUUUAUAGCGACUAACUUUUGUAAACAAAAUUAAAUAUAUAUUUCCAUUGAAUUAUAAUUUUUUAAAGAAUUGAAAUUUAUAAAUUAAUGACAUAAAAUUGUGAAUGGUUUUUAAUGUAUAAGAAUAAUUUUUUCAUUUCAGAAAUUAAACACACGUCUCUUCAGAAAUUAAACACACACAUUUGCGAUUCAAAUUUCCAAGACUCUUUGAUCUAGCCAUUAAUAAGGAUAGUACGGUGGAGGAGAUAGAGAGUUUAGGGUGGGAGGAGGAGGGAAGAGCGUGGGAAUGGAGACGCCGUUUGUUAGCCUGGGAGGAGGAAAAUAUGAGGGAGUGUUCCGAGGUGUUACAUAACAUUGUUUUGCAGGUGAUGUCACUGAUUCGUGGAGAUGGAUUUUAGAUCAUGUGCAUGAUUAUUCGGUGCGGGAAGCCUAUCGCUUUCUCACAUCUUCAGGUGAACAGGUGGAUAGGAGCCUUGUGGAUGAUGUCUGACAUAGGAAUAUUCCUGUGAAAGUAUCUUUGUUAGUGUGGCGUCUCUUGCGCAACCGACUUCCAUCAAAAGAUAUUUUAUUGAGGCGGAAUAUCAUUCAAGCAAACGACUUGGCCUGUGUAACUGGGUGUGGAGCUUUCGAAACAGCUAAUCACCUUUUUCUUGAUUGCGAGUUGUCUUAUUCAUUGUGGCUUCUUGUCUGGAAUUGGAUAGGGCUCUCGGUGGUUCCUCCUUGUCAGAUUCGUGAGCAUUUCAUCCAGAUGUCCUUCAUGGCGGGGAUGCCGCGUGAUACUCACUCGUACUUUAAGGUUCUAUGGUUUGCUUGUGUCUAGGUAAUUUGGAAGGAACAUAAUAAUCGUAUUUUUAAAAAUUUGGUGUCUACUACCUUGGUCCUUUUUGAGAGAGUCAAGUUACUUUCUUUUUUGUGGUUGAAAGCUAAACAUGCAUCCUUUUAUUAUUGUUAUCGUGCUUGGUGGAGGCAUCCGCUAUCUUGUAUGGAUGUCCACUGAUUGAUGUUUGUUUGGCAGCUCUCUUGUUGGCUCUUGGUGUCUGUAAACUUUGAUCGGUGGUAUUCUCUGCACUCUUUGUGCAUGGAGCGUCACUGUUGUUGUUAAUAUAUAUGGCAUUUUGGUUUGUGCAAAAAAAAAAAUAAUGUUUGACCCAGGUAUCAAAAGAGUAAUAAAGAUAAACAAUUUCUUCCUUAAAAAAAAAAGAUAAACAAUUUCUAUAAGGAUAAAUAUGUUACUUAUUUUUAUAAAUAUAAAAUAGAAAAUGUUAACGAGUGUUUCGAGAAAAUUCAUUAAGGGUUUUAAAUGAUAAAAUUUUACGAAAAAUUUAUGUAUUUAAUAAAUAAAAAAUUAUAGUAUUUAACUUUUUCAAAUAAUAAUUUAUUAAUUUGAAAUCAUUAAAGAAGGUCCCAGACACCCGUUAUCAAAAAUUAAUAACUCAACAGUAUUGGCUAAACUAAUUUAAAUGGUUUUUUUUUCUUCUAGAUUACCUUUGAAGAAUGGUGAGUAAUUUAUCCACCAACCAAUGAAAAUGAGCAAUUUGUUGGUGAGAUCAAGAUAGUUCAUGGAUACCACUUAAAAAUGUGCUUAUGUAGCUAAUGUGUAUUGGUUGAGGUAAAUUACUCACCAUUCUUCCAUAGGUACCCUAGUUGUCAAAUAUUAGAAAAUGAACAUGGAGGCCGACCGUUUCUAUUUUGGCUCUGAGUUGACCUUGCGUCCACCCACUUCUUUUUAGGGUCAAAGAGAUGCGUCCGCUUGUUUGGCUUUAGUGAAUAAAAUAAAAUAGCUUGGACACACAUAAAUCACAAAAAAUAAAAUAAAAUAAUAAAUUAAAUAAUGUGUAUUUUAAAAAGUGUUUUGUGACGAGUGUCAUAAGAACAUUUGUUAAAAAAUUCCAUAAUAGAAUUUUUUUUUUUUUUUUAGAAUUACAAGAUUUUACCUUUGUCUCAACAAUGAUUACUUUUUCAAUGCAAAUUUAUUUAGUUUUAAACUUUAACUAAUACCCUAAGAACACUUGUUAGCAUUUCUCUUUUGCAAAUAAAUACUUAAUAUAUAUUUAUGUGCGUAUCUAAAUUAGAUAUAUUUGAGUUUGUGAUCGGUAAAUAUUGCUCAACUUUAGUGAGGGAGAGAUGUGCAUAAUUCAAAUUGAGCUCCGUUUAAAUGUAAAUAUUAGGCAAAGUUAUCAACUAUCAAUACAUAAAUAUAAAAGCUAAGAGUAGAUUACACUUCCCUCCUUUAAAAAAUGCUUCAAUUACACUUCCCCUUCUCUUUUAUGUUAAAAUAUACAUUUUCCUUCCCUCUUAUUCAAAACGUAUUAGAGAUUAUUUCACUCAUCUCCCUUGAGAGAAGCUUGAAUUACACAUAAACCCCCUUUAGUUUAAAAAUGAACUUUGAACUCUACUUAUUUGUUUCUCUAAUUAACACAUACCUCCCACUAGUUCAAUUAUUUGAUUAAUUUAUAUGGGGUCAAUAUGAGUGGAUUUCUAGAUGCAUCAUUAAGAGAAUAAUGGAAAACUCUAAUUGAUUAUCAUAUUACAAGAGGAUAUGAUUCUCAAUAUAUCGUACAUAAACGUAUUCUAUCGUCACACUAUAUGAAGAUUGUUUGAGACAUUAUGAGUACUAGUUGAGGAAGAACCAAACUAGUCGUCACUAACAUUUUUGUGUGUGUUUCAUAUAUCUCUCUCACACCUAAUUUCUAAUAUGUUUAAUAAAUCUAAAUUUCGUAAAUCUUAGUUUAUAUACAUGCUCGUAUAUUUUACGCACUAUAGGACCCGUUUGUUAGAAAUUAAAAUAAAAGUGACCCUGACAAUGAAUAAUUUCGUAAAUCCUAGUUUAUAUACAUGCUCAUCUAUUUUACGUUUGUUUACCAUUUUAAAAAUAAUUUAGUUUGUUUGGAUAUAAUUAUAUACUCCCUCCGUCCCAAAUUGUAUGUCGCUUUGGAAAAAAAAUUUGUCCCAAAUUAUAUGUCGCUUUACAAUACCAAUGAAAUAUUAAUGUUAUUUUUCCUAUUAUAUCCUUAACUAUUAAUUACUCCCAAUUCUUUCAAUUAUUUCAUUUAUCUUUUCCAUACCAUUUAUUAAGGAUAAUUUUGUAAAACAACUCAUAAUUUCUCUUCCCCACACAAUAUUAAUUACAUUUCUUAAUACGUGUGAAAUGACCAAAACGUCAUACAAUUUGGGACGGAGGGAGUAAAAGAGAUUUUUUGUUACAAAAUUAAUUUAAUCUUUUGACUCCUAUUUCUCCUCUUCUCUUAAAAAAAUCUAUUUAUGAAAAACUGCUCUUAACAACUUCUUAUUUGAAGAUGAUUUUAGUAUAUUCUUAGAUUAUGAUUUUUUUUAAAAGUUAUAUAAUAAACGGAUGGAAUACUUUUAAAAAUGAUUAUUUUGGUUAAAAAAUAAUUUUUUAAAUGAUUAUUUUGUUUGCAAAAAUGAUUUUUUUUUUUUAAAAAAAACUUUAACAAACGAGGUCAUAGUAUGGUUAUAAUUUUAAUCUUUAUAGAACAUGUUUUGUAUCAACGAAUUAUUAAAUUAAUUCGAACAUAUCACAAAAAAAUAUGUGGGACACAAACAAUUAUAAACACUUUGACAAAGCACACCAAGAAACAGAGUAGUUAGGCCGUGGAAAAAAUGACGCUGCUUUAAUUUGCAUCUUUGUUAUCUUUAAAAUGAUCGAAUCAAUUCAUAAACACUCACACCUAAACAACCCCAUUUUUCUAAUCCGUCAUAAUCAUAAAUUAAUGAGUAUUGUGUUAUGAGCAUAGCCUCUAGCAACAAUGAGGCAACAGCUAUGAGACACGAGAGCAAUGAUCCAGCAAAAAAGGAUCAUCGAUAAAGUGAAAUGACCUACCUAUGAAAAGUCAUAUGAACCACAAAUCUUGAAUUAAUUGCAUAAAUUCGAACUUGAACACAAGUGGCAACAUGCAUGUAUGAGCAAAAUAUCUAACUAUUUGUGUCUUCAAUAAUUAGCAUAGUAUUUUGAAGUUAUCGUAAUACUAUUUUACGAAAAGAUCGCAUAAUAAUUGCAACAAAAAAAAAUUAUAAAUAUGGAACUAGUUUGAUAAAUUGAUAAACCACACCUCUCUUCUCAAGAACAAAGAAAAAUCACAAGAGUUAGCUUAGUGAAACUUCUUUAUUUUGAGGGAUUUAAUCAAUGGCUCCUUUAAGUUGUUCUAGAAUAACAAUGUUCAGUUUGGUUCUAUUUGUCCUCAUAAUAGGGAGUGUCAAUGCACAACUCUCUACAAACUUUUACUCAAAAACUUGUCCCAAACUCUCUUCCAUUGUCCAACGUCAAGUGCAAUCCGCCAUAUCAAAGGAGGCACGAAUUGGUGCUUCUAUCCUCCGCUUGUUCUUCCACGAUUGCUUUGUCAAUGUAAGCCUCAACAUGUUUGACCAAUUUCAUUUAUAGCACCACAUAUUUUUCAAUACACUUUCUUUAUUGAUACUAUUAUAUUUUUUUGGUGUUGACCGGGUUGCAUAUAUAACAUUAUGUUUCAGAUUAUUUGUAUAAUAUUCAUUUGAAAUUCAUACUUCCUCCGUCCCUAUAUGUAAACAUCCAUUUGAUUUUACUUUUGUCCUUAAAUAUAAACCCCUUUUCAAUUUACUAGAUGCAUUUAUUAUUUUUUUCCUAAACAUACCCUGAAUUAAUAUCACUAUCUUGUCUUGAAAUAUGAAAAGUCAACACAUACAAACAAAGGACAAUUUCGUAAUAUUAAUACACAAAACAGACACAUUAAUUACAUUGACAACUUUUUUUAAGAAAUAUGAAAAAGGCAAUGAGUGACUACAUUAACGGACGGAGGGAGUAUAUCUCAGAAAUAACAAAAUAAACAAAGAAUUACUCAUAUUAUAACCCAAAAUUUAUUAAAUGAACUAUUAAUAUCUACAUAAAAUAUAAAAUAUAAUAUAAUAUCAUAGUUGUGUAAAUUAAAAUAAUAAAAAAUAUGUGUUUAGAGUGAAUAGAAUUGACACAUAUAAGGAAAAAAUUUAUAUAUGAAAUUGAUUAAAAUAAGUAAUUUAAUUUUAAUCAGAUAAUUAUUUCAAUUUUCUCUAUCAAUUUAAUAUUUUAAAAAUGAAUUAUCCAUUAAAAAAAUUUGUUACAAAAUUUUUAAGUGAACUCCGGGUGCUCACCAUAUCAGGGCAAGCCUCAAGUUCAAAGAAGGUUUACAUAGGUAAUUAAAUAUCACCCACCAAAGAUGUUCUCACAUCGACAAUGGUAAUUAAACUCACGACCUUGCGUGUCAAUCAACUUUUUAUUAAAUGAGUCAACCUUCAUUGACAGUGUCUAUUAAAUUUGAUCAAAGCUAUAUGCUUACUUAAAUUGGCGUUUAAUUAAGAAUACAACUAAGAAACAAAUAAAAAAUUAAAAUUAAAAUGUAGGAUUAUAUUUAAAAAAAACAAAAAAAAAUUGUGUCUGCGUAUAUAUAAUAAUAAUAAUAACUAAAUAAAUAAUAUUAAUAUACUUGUCACUUAAAAGCACGAUGAUGGUAAGAUAUCUCUUCAAGUUACUUAAUUAGAAGUUAUGAGUUAUUGGAUUUAUUCCAAACCCAUGAAUGCAAUAGUCUUAAGUUGAACUUUGCCAAACAUUAUGGUCAUAUCCUAUUGAGAGAUUAAUCUCUGCUGUUGCAGCAGAGAAAAUUCGGUUCAUGCAAAAGAUAAAAUAGUCCCUUCAAAAGAAUAAUAGCUAGUAAUAGUAAGAAUUAUUAGGGAUGACAAACAACAUAUAAGCAUGAUAUGCAAAGAUAAAAUCCACUAUGGGUAUAUUUUUUUUUUUUCGUUCACAAAUCAUCAUGGGCAUAAAGUGGAUAGUUUAACUACUACAUGUACAUAAAAUAUAGUUUCGCUCAAAAAAAAAGUACAUAAAAUAUAGUUAUAUUUUAAUUACUCUCAACUAAUUGGUAGAAACAACAAGUAAUUAUAUUCGUACUCAAAGUUUAUAAUGAUAAUUUAGAUAUCUAGUUUGUUGAGCUAGUUAUUCUACAUAAAAAAUCAUUUUAAUUAAAAAAUAUGUUAGUAGCAAAUGUGCAUAAUAAAUUAAAAACAAAAUUAAAUAAUAUUUUCCUUCAAAAAAAAAAAAUAUUUAAAAAAAAUUAUUGAAUGAAAUAUAAACAUAAAUAAAAUAUUUAGUGGAUAAGAUCAGUACAAUAUAUAAAGUUAUUGAGAUAAUUAUGCCAAAUAAAAUACUGAUUUUAAAAAAUAGAAAAAAUAGUAAAAAUAUUGAAAAUAAAGGUGGAAGUGACAUGUGGCAUAAAACCUUACUUUAUAUACUAUUAUUGAUUUAAAACGGCGCUAUUUUACCAUUGUCUUCCGGAAGAUUUGAAUUUUAUCCACCUAGAUACGAGAUGAAAUUCUUAUUACUUUAGUUGAUGUCUCAUCAGCACAAUGAGUAAACUAUGAUAUAUUUUAUUUGCUAAUUAUAGGGGUGCGAUGGGUCAAUUCUACUAGAUGACACAUCAAACUUUACCGGAGAGAAGAACGCACUCCCGAAUAAGAACUCUGUUCGAGGAUUCGAUGUCAUUGACAACAUAAAGACGGCGGUAGAGAACGUAUGCCCCGGAGUUGUAUCAUGUGCUGAUAUCCUUGCCAUUGCUGCCACAGACUCCGUUGCAAUUGUAAGUAUGUUGUAGUCAUAUAUCAAUGAAUUAAUUAACCAAUCAAAAUAUAGAACACUAACCAUGCAAAUGUAAAUUUGUUGUCUUGCUUUUAAUUUACAUGAUAGCUUGGUGGCCCAACCUGGAAUGUAAAACUUGGAAGAAGAGAUGCCACAACUGCUAGUCAAUCUGAUGCGAACACUGCCAUCCCAAGACCAACUUCCAACCUUAAUAUACUCACCUCAAUGUUUAAGAAUGUUGGUCUUUCCACCAAGGACUUAGUCGCAUUGUCAGGUACAAUUCCAUUGCUUUAGACAUAUACAUAUAGUUUUUUUACUUAUAUUUAAUUCAAAUAUCUAAUUUAAGUAAAAUUACAUAAUUCGUUCAUUAACUUAACUUCAAAUAAUACUUUCGUUCUUUAUCUUAUUUUCUCCAUAAAGUAAUAUUUUUUAUCUUUUAUCGUUUUCUUUUUCCGAUUUAAUCUUUUAUGUUAUAAAAUGUCAACAAUGUUCUCUUUUUAUGGGAUUUUUUUUAAUGAAAUUUGGGUUUCUAUGUUUGUAGGAUGAAGAUUUGGAUGCGUUUAUGAGUUUGAUGAAUUCUUUAUAAGUUCUUUUUAUGAAUUUUUUUAUUUUGUUUUCAUAAAAAAUGAUAACAAUGUUGACAUUUUAUAACAUAACAUAAAUGACUAAAUCGAAAAAAGAAAAAGAUAAAGGAAGAAAGUGUUACCUGGUUAUAGCAUAAAAGAUGAAAUUGAGAAAAAAUAAGAUAAAUGACGAAAGUGUUACAUGAAAUUAAGUUAAUGGUCGAGUUGUGUAAUUUUGCCUAUAAUUUCUCAACUGGGAAGAACUAAUAAUUGUCAAAUAACUAAUUUGGUGUCUUAAUUAAUUGACUAGGUGCUCACACAAUUGGACAAGCAAGGUGCACAACAUUUAGGGUACGAAUCUACAAUGAGACCAACAUAGAUACUUCUUUUGCUAGCACAAGGCAAUCUAAUUGCCCAAAGACAUCAGGAUCAGGGGACAACAAUUUGGCACCUCUUGAUCUCCAUACUCCCACUUCUUUUGACAACUGCUACUACAGGAACCUUGUUCAAAACAAGGGUCUUCUUCAUUCAGACCAACAACUUUUCAACGGCGGGUCCACUAACUCAAUAGUGAGUGGCUAUUUUAAUAAUCAAAACUCUUUUUUCUCUGAUUUUGCCACUGCUAUGAUCAAGAUGGGAGAUAUUAAGCCACUCACUGGAUCAAAUGGAGAGAUUAGAAAGAACUGCAGAAAACCCAACUAAUAUUUAAGUUUGAACUGAUAUUAAUCGUCCAAGAUAUACACAUACAAAAUUGUAUUAUAUAGAUGUGUGGGUGCACUUGCGCAAAAUAAGUUGUUAAGCAAGUUUUGAUUAUCAUUUUAAUUAUGUGUGCUUCCGAGGGUCUUGUAUUGUCUUAGUUAUACUCCCUCUGUCUAAAUUGUACUCCCUCCGUCCUAAAUUGUAUGACGUUUUGGGCAUUUCACACGUAUUAAGAAAUGUAAUUAAUUUUGUGUGGAAAAUGGAUAUUAUGAAUUGUUUUACAAAAUUGUCCUUAGUAAAUGAUAUCGGAAAGAUAAAUGAAUGACUUGGAAGAAGAGAAAGUAGUAAAUAGUUAAUGAUAUAAUAUGAAAAAUAACAUUAAUGCUUCAUUGAUAUUGUAAAGCGACAUACAAUUUGGGACAAUUUUUUUUUCAAAACGACAUACAAUUUGAGACAAAGGGAGUAUGAUGUUUUAGGCAUUUCCCAAGUAUUAAGAAAUAUAAUUAAGUUUAUGUGGGAAAUAUAUAUUAUAAGUUGUUUUACAAAAUUGUCCUUUGUAAAUGGUAUGAGAAAGAUAAAUUAAAGAAUGAAAAGAAGAUAAAGUAAUAAGUAGUUAAUGAUAUAAUAGAAAAAAUAACGUUAAUGUUUCACUGAUAUUGUAAAAUGAUAUAUAAUUUGAGACAAAUUAUUUUUUCAAAACCACAAACAAUUUGGUAUGGAGGGAGUAUUAUAUUUUUUUCUCUUCUUCAUUUGUAAAAAAUGGUUUUGUUUUUCUCUUUAGUUUCUAUGUUUAACCGUGUCUCUAUUUUCAUGUAAAAGAAUAUUUUGUAUUUGUACUCCUUGCUGAAAAGAUAUUGUGAUUUUAACUUCCAUGGUCAAUGUAGAAAAUCUAGUUGAUGAAUAAUAUAUAAGCAUCUCAAUCAAUACUUUUUUGGUAAAUAGAGAUAACUUUCAUUAACCAAAACAAUUAUUACAAACUACAUGGAAUAAGGAAACACUUAAACCAAGAAACAAGAGCUAAGCUCAAACAAACAAAAAAGAACCAUUAGCCUUGCACCCGAAUCAUCAGAGUUUGCACCUUCUUGAAUUGCAAUCCUCUAAUGUAAGCAUCCAUUUUGAUUUGGUUAAGGAGUUGUUGAACAGAUCGGUAACAAUUCUGAAUUUUUCUAUCAUUCCUCUCCUUCCAGAUCAUAUACAGGGUCACACUCAACACCAUCUCAUAACACCUUUCCAAACAGCAUCAGCAUAAUCACAAGAAAAAAAGAGGUGAGAAUGAAUUUCAUUCUCCUUUGUACACAAAAUGCAAACUUGGUCACAUUGAAUAUCUACUUUAAGCAUCCUAUCACAAGUUGGCAAUCUAUCAUGAAUAAUCAACCAAGUAACAAACAAACAUUUAGGAGGGUCUGGAUUAUUACAUAUCAUUUUCCUCUCAAUCAAUACUUUUUUAGUGUCCACUUUUUUUUUUUUAAUAACAGCGUUAAAGUUUCAUAAUAAUAGCGUUAAAGUCCACCUAAUGUUUAUAGUUAACAGAGUAAUUUUUUUUUUUUUUGUGUAAAAGGUUAAUUAUUAUUUUUAUCAAAAUAAAAAGUUCCUCUUUAUUGUUGACAACAUGAAAUUGGGAACAAUUGCAUACCUAUCCCCCCCCCCCCCCCAAAUGAAUCCGAAACUCUUUUUGUUAUUAGACUAAAAGUUUAAAUGAAUUUCAAAUUAUAGUUAAUCAAUAACUAUAUGUCUAUAAUUCUGACAAUUAUUACAUUGACCCUUAAACGAUUAUACAGUGAAUUCAACAUCAUAUUUUAAUCCAAAGUCUUAAGUCAUUUGGAUUGGAUUUGAUUGAAUCGGUUUAUACAAAAGAAAUCGAAAACCAAUCCAAUUCAUUUAAAAUUGUGGUUUUUUUCUUCUUUCGGUUUUCAGUUUUUGAUUUGGUUUGAUUUUUUAUUUUUCGGUUCGAUUAUUGCGGUUUACAUUGGAUUAAAUUGGACAUGAACACCCCUAGUACACAACAUUUAAAAGUGUAACUAAUCUUUUCAAAUUUUUUUUUUUGUUUCUUUAAUAAGUGUCUAUGAGACACAUUUUAACAUGAUAGAUGUUUGUUGAAAGGUUAUGAAUUACACUCAUGAAAAUACAUGAGUGGGCAAUGACUAUACCCAUGUUUGAUACAAGAUUGAAAAACAACUAAUCCAGAAUAUAUCGGUUUCUAGAAAUGAAAUAACUUCCUAUGAUUUUCAAUAUUUCCAUAAAAAGUGGAUUCCUAUGGAAUGUUAUAUACUUUUUCAAAUAAAAAUAUAUGAACUUCUAAAUUUCUUAGAAAUGUUAAAGAAUGUGUCAAACAUUUUAAAAAAAAAUAAAAAUACAUAGGAGUCAAACUCCCAAAUUUUUAUCUCCAAAUAUGUUAUUCCUAAGAAUAAUUUUUGAGUUCCUUAAACAAACACACAUUUUUUUUUUCUUUCCAACUUUAUAUCCACGGAUAUGUUAAUUUUAAGAAUAAUUUUAAAGUCCUUGAAACAAACGCCCUUUUAUUUUUAUUUUCAGUCAAACCUUCAGUUUCAUUGCUGGUAUGAAAUUCGGAUGUUAAUGAAAUUAGACAAACAUAGAAGUUUCUGUAGACAAGAAAUCGUCGAAAAUUUCUGUAUGGAUUAUGAUGAUUACUUCUAUGAUUAUUUUGAUUUAGUUAAUUUGCCAAAGCAAACCUAUCUAACUAAUCAAAUAUUCUAAUCAAUUUGCACUUAAACUAGUAUCAUUCUGUUAAACUGGAGUCAAUUAUGCAUGACUAAGUAAGAUUAUGCUUGUUUUAUUGGCUUUUGGAGUCUUUGGUCUAUGCAGUCAACUUUUGCUCUUUUGCUGUUUUUCGUCGUUUUGCAACUUGUAUGGACACAGCAUGAAAAUUACGACCCGUUAAAGGCUUAUUUGAUGGGACCCAAACAAUUGUAAACACUUUGACAAAGCACAAAAGGAAACAUAGUAGUUAGGCUCGUAGAAAAAAUGACGCUGCUUUAAUUUUGCAUAUUUGAAUUGAUCAUCGAAUCAAAUCAUACUCACACACACCUAAAAACCCUCAUUUUUGUAAUCCAUCAUAAUCAUAAAUUAAUUAAUAUUGUGAUGUUUUCUUGAUAAUAAAAAAUUUAAAUUAGGAAGACUCGCAUGUGUAAAGUCACCAUAAUCACAUCUCAUCGAAUAUCUAUGAUGAAAUUUACGUAUAAUCAAAUUUAAGUUUAAAUUUGAAAUUUCGAACUUGAACUCAGAUCACAGCAUUAGCGAGCGGAAUAUCUAAUCAUACAUGUCAACAAUAAUUAUUAUAGUGUUUAGAAGUUUUCGUAAUUCUACUAUUCUAGGAAAAGAUCGCAUAAUAUAUAUGGCCAUAUAAUUCCCACGGCCAUGCAUAGAUGACUUGUCUAUAUUCUACGUGUUACGCAGUUGACAUAAACAACUCUGGAUACUGCAAAGAAGCCAUUAUAAAUAUGGAACUAGUUCUAUAAAUUGAUAAACCACACCACUCUUCUCAAUAACAAAGAGAAAACACUAGAGCUAGCUUAGUGAAACUUCUUAGUUCAAAGAUUUUUAAUCAAUGUCAUCUUUAAAUUGUUCUAGAUUAACCAUGAUCAGUUUGGUUCUAUUUGUCCUCAUAAUAGGGAGUGCCAAUGCACAACUUUCUACAAGUUUUUACUCAAGUUCUUGUCCCAAACUCUCUUCCACUGUUCAAUCCACAGUGCAAUCCGCCAUAUCAAACGAGGCCCGAAUGGGUGCUUCCAUCCUCCGAUUGUUCUUUCACGAUUGCUUUGUCAAUGUAAGCCUUCUUAUGUCUCACUAAUUUCAUUUAUAACACCAUAUAUUUUUUUUCAACACACUUUCUUUUAUUGAUGUUUAAAGCGACGACAUUUUAUCAUUGUCUUCGAGAAGAUUUAAACUUUAUCCAUUGUGAUAUAAGAUCAAAUUUUUAUUACUUUAGGUGAUACCUCAUAAGCAAAGAGUUAAUUAUAAUAAUAUAUUGCAUGCGAUUAUAGGGAUGUGACGGGUCAAUUCUACUAGAUGACACAUCAAACUUUACUGGAGAGAAAAACGCAAAUCCGAAUAGAAACUCUGCUCGUGGAUUUGAUGUCAUUGACAACAUUAAGACAGCCGUAGAGAAUGUAUGUCCUGGCGUUGUAUCAUGUGCUGAUAUCCUUGCCAUCGCUGCCGCGGACUCCGUUGCAAUCGUAAGUGUAGUCAUAUAUCAAUGAAUUAAUUACUCAAACAAUCAAAAUCUAAUUAAUACUUCAAUUGCAAGUGUAAUCAUGCAAAAGUAAAUUAAGUGAAAAUUAAUCAAUAUUUCAACUGUCGUGUUUCUUUUAAUUUACAUGAUAGCUUGGUGGCCCAACCUGGAACGUAAAACUUGGAAGAAGAGACGCCAAGACGGCUAGUCAAUCUGCUGCUAACACCGCAAUCCCGGCACCAACUUCAAACCUUAAUACACUCACCUCAAUGUUUAGUGCUGUUGGUCUUUCCAGCAAGGACUUGGUCACAUUGUCAGGUGCAAUUGCAUUGAUUUGGACGAUAAGCCUAUGUUUUUUUUUUACUUAUAUUUAGUUCAAAUAUAUAAUUUCACAAUUGGGAAGAGCACAUAAUUUUCAAAUAAUUAAUUUGGUGUCUUAAUUAAUUGAUUAGGUGCUCACACAAUUGGACAAGCAAGGUGCACAACCUUUAGGGCACGAAUCUACAAUGAGACCAACAUAGAUACUUCAUUUGCUAGUACAAGACAAUCAAAUUGCCCAAAUACAUCUGGGUCAGGGGACAACAAUUUGGCACCUCUUGAUCUUCAGACUCCCACUUCAUUUGACAACAACUACUUCAAGAACCUUGUUCAAAACAAGGGUCUUCUUCAUUCAGACCAACAACUUUUUAACGGCGGAUCCACCAACUCCAUAGUGAGUGGCUACAGUACUAAUCCAAG